UCAGGAGGAACACCGAUGGCGAAGGCAGAUCUCUGGGCCGUAACUGACGCUGAGGAGCGAAAGGGUGGGGAGCAAACAGGCUUAGAUACCCUGGUAGUCCACCCCGUAAACGUUGGGAACUAGUUGUGGGGACCAUUCCACGGUUUCCGUGACGCAGCUAACGCAUUAAGUUCCCCGCCUGGGGAGUACGGCCGCAAGGCUAAAACUCAAAGGAAUUGACGGGGACCCGCACAAGCGGCGGAGCAUGCGGAUUAAUUCGAUGCAACGCGAAGAACCUUACCAAGGCGGUGAGAUACACCAGAACACCGUAGAAAUACGGGACUCUUUGGACACUGGUGAACAGGUGGUGCAUGGUUGUCGUCAGCUCGUGUCGUGAGAUGUUGGGUUAAGUCCCGCAACGAGCGCAACCCUCGUUCUAUGUUGCCAGCACGUAAUGGUGGGAACUCAUGGGAUACUGCCGGGGUCAACUCGGAGGAAGGUGGGGAUGACGUCAAAUCAUCAUGCCCCUUAUGUCUUGGGCUUCACGCAUGCUACAAUGGCCGGUACAAAGGGCUGCAAUACCGUGAGGUGGAGCGAAUCCCAAAAAGCCGGUCCCAGUUCGGAUUGAGGUCUGCAACUCGACCUCAUGAAGUCGGAGUCGCUAGUAAUCGCAGAUCAGCAACGCUGCGGUGAAUACGUUCCCGGGUCUUGUACACACCGCCCGUCAAGUCAUGAAAGUCGGUAACACCUGAAGCCGGUGGCCCAACCCUUGUGGAGGGAGC
rnacentral:rRNA from 1 species